AAAAAAUAAAAAAAAACAUUUUUUUGUGAAUUGUUGGCCUUCUGGAAAGUAUGUUCAUUUACUGUACAUGUACCCAAUACUUGGUAGGGGCUCCUUUUGCUUUAAUUACUGGCUCAAUUCAGCGUGGCAUGGAGGUGAUCAGUUUGUGGCACUGCUGAGGUGGUAUGGAAGCCCAGGUUUCUUUGACAGUGGCCCUCAGCUCAUAUGCAUUUUUUGGUCUCGUUUCUCAUUUUCCUCUUGACAGUACCCCAUAGAUUCUCUAUGGCAGGGUUCCUCAAAUCUUACCCUGGAGGGCCAAUGCACUGCAGUGUUUAGCUCUAACCCUGAUCAAACUCACCCACCUGUGAUUUUCUAAUGAUCCUGAAGGCAUUGAUUAGCAUGCUCAGGUGUGUUUGAUUAGGGUUACAGCUAAACUCUUCAGGAAAGUGGAUCUCGUGGGCCAGAUUUGAGGAUCCCUGCUCUAUGGGGUUCAGGUCUGGUGAGUUUGCUGGCCAGUCAAGCACACCAACACCAUGGUCACUUAACCAACUUUUGGCAGUGUGGGCAGGUGCCAAAUCCUGCUGGAAAAAUAAAUCGGCAUCUUCAAAAAGCCGGUCAGCAGAAGGAAGCAUGAAGUGCUCCAAAAUUUCUUGGUAAACGGAUGCAGUGACUUUGGUUUUCAAAAAACACAAUGGACCAACACCAGCAGGUGACAUUGCACCCCAAAUCAUCACAGACUGUGGAAACUUAACACUGGACUUCAAGCAACAAGGGCUAUGAGCUUCUCCACCCUUCCUCCAGACUCUUGGUUUCCAAAUGAAAUGCAAAACUUGCUCUCAUCUGAAAAGAGGACUUUGGACCACUGGGCAACAGUCCAGUUCUUCUUCUCCUUAGCCCAGCUUUUAAGGAGAAGGAAGCCAGUUUGGAAGACAGCCUGCCCACACAAUACAUGGAGGAUUCCAACUCGUCUUUGGAGAAAAGGUUCAGGGGCCGGCAUGGAGGGGUUCCACUACGAUUUUCAACCGCAGCAAUGAAUUUUAAGAGAAGCAUCUGAGAUCGAUACUUAAAUGAAACAUAACUGGGAACUCCAUUACAUCUCCUGAGCAAUGAAAGAGCAGCCUUUGAGUAAUAAAAUGUUCCUCUGGGAAGGUCCAAGAUGGAAAAUGAGAAGUAUGGUUGUAGAUGGCAUGCAGAUUAAGACAGAAAAAGAAUAAAAAAUGCUAAUGUUGACCUCAAUCCUCAAGAUUACUGCCGAUGCCAGAAUGUGCUAUAUCACUUCAAAGACUUGUGCAGAAGUGCUUU
ensembl:lncRNA